UGGGGAAUAUUGGACAAUGGGCGAAAGCCUGAUCCAGCAAUACCGCGUGUGUGAAGAAGGCCUCCGGGUUGUAAAGCACUUUAAGUUGGGAAGAAAAAGCUUCACCUAAUACGUGAAGCCUUGACGGUACCGACAGAAUAAGCACCGGCUAACUCUGUGCCAGCAGCCGCGGUAAUACAGAGGGUGCUAGCGUUAAUCGGAAUUACUGGGCGUAAAGAGUGCGUAGGUGGUUGGCUAAGUUUGGUGUGAAAUCUCCCGGCUUAACUGGGAGGGUGCGCCGAAAACUGGCUGGCUAGAGUGUGGGAUAGGGAAGCGGAAUUCCUGGUGUAGCGGUGAAAUGCGUAGAUAUCAGGAGGAACGCCUGCGGUGUAGACGGCUUCCUGGACCAUGACUGACACUGAGGCACGAAAGCGUGGGUAGCAAACAGGAUUAGAUACCCUGGUAGUCCACGCCCUAAACGAUGCGGACUUGGUGUGCGUCCUUCAUUGGAUGCGUGCCGAAGCUAACGCGAUAAGUCCGCCGCCUGGGGAGUACGGUCGCAAGGCUG
rnacentral:rRNA from 1 species